AAAAGAAUGAGGCAUGACUUCCUAACUCUGUCGAACACCAGAAAAUAUGAAAAAAGAUCUCUCCUUUCAUUUUCUGCUCAAUCAAUUUUCAAAAUUCCCCAUGAAUCUUUUGGAACCAUACAAUAAGCUGGUGGUUUGUAUAACCGUAACUGAUUCUUCUUCUCUCCUCCUAGUUUUUAACAAUUGCCAAGAUAAUUUCUGGGUUCCUCUGUUAAUUUUCGAGGGUUUUCUUCUUCAUUCAGGUUGCUUUGGUAAUUUUACUGGCAAUCAUAGUUUCCCUGCAAAAGACACAUAUAUCAUGGUUCAACCAUGUUGACGGUGCAUGCUGGGGGAGCUAUCAGGAAGUGCUUGAGUUAUUUAGAUAACAAUAUAUUUCAGGAGUUUAGUCUUUCAAAGGCUGCAAAUUUCACUCCGUUACUCAGUCCUCUAGGCUGUCCUAGUCAACCAAGUUUUUCCAAUACCGAAGGCUUGCGCAACUGCUUUCUUCCCAGACAAGGCCAUGGGCAAUUGAAAGGCUGUUCCCUCUCUCAGGACAGUGUUACCAAGAGGUGGCUGUGCCGGUCUUUAGAUCCUGCUUCAUCAGAUGAUGAUUAUCGUUCAUCAACAAAUAUUGCUGUCAGCUUAUUCAGACGAUACAGAAAUGUGAUUGAUCGUGGUGGCACUGAUAAUCUUAAGGAGUUCAUUGAAGCUGGGGUAAAUGCUUAUGCAUUAGGUUGCACUGAUGAAGGUUUGAGGAAAGAGCUGUCCAAUAUGAAAGAAUCUGGAGUUGAAAUAGAAUCAAUGGAAAUUUAUGGCGGACGCACCAGCCUGAGGUCCAAAAUAUUAUACGAGGAAGUUGAUGAGUGCAUUCUUUGGUUGAGCAUUAUAUGUAUCACCAUCUUGUGUACACCACAGCCAACCGUAGUUAGAUGGUCUGCUUCACCUCCAGUCUCUGAAGAUGUAUUACAUCAGUGGAAAGGCUUUUGUGCAAUCAUUGCAAAUGCAUAUUAUGUGAGAGGAAUGGCAUGGCUUCCUGUGAAGACACUUCAAUUAGAGCAGAUGGCAGUGGCAGGACAUGCUGAGGAACCUUCUGUUGUUGCGAGUAGAAUGCGUUUGGUAUUCAGUACCCUAGAGGUGGUUAGUCCGCAGUGGCCUCAGGCAUAGUUCUGCAUUAUUUGAAGGGAGAAGAUCUCGGUUUCUUGUUCUCAGCGACAAGAAAUGCAGAGCGAUUAUAUCUUUGAUAAAAAAAAAACAAGAAAUGGUGGAGUGGGUGACCAUAUCUUCAAGAAAUUCCUUCAAAGUUAUAAGCAAUGGAUCAUUCUAAACAUUGCACAAAUGUCAAAGUCUCUAAUUCUCUAUCCGGAAACACCUAAAAGCGAUAAACUCUUUUCUUUUUUUUUCUUCCUUUUAGUGAAUACUCACUGGUGUUUAGCAUGGAUGAUGCUUCAAGUUACUACUUUAAAUAUUAUAUUAUGGUGUGUAUUAUAUGAAAAGUUAGUAUAAAAUAUAAACUUGAACAUUUCAAAUUUUAUAUUUACGUGCAAUAAAAUAUAUAUAAUAUAAUGAUUGAUUAA